GCUCUGUUGGUGUAGUCCGGCCAAUCAUAUCACCCUCUCACGGUGAUGACCAGGGUUCGAAUCCCUGACGGAGCACCA
rnacentral:tRNA from 1 species